rnacentral:rRNA from 1 species
UACAGAGGGUGCGAGCGUUGUCCGGAAUCACUGGGCGUAAAGGGCGCGUAGGUGGCUUGCUAAGCGUGUGGUGAAAGCCCGGGGCUCAACCCCGGGUCGGCCGUGCGAACUGGUGAGCUGGAGCACUGUAGAGGCAGGUGGAAUUCCGGGUGUAGCGGUGGAUGCGUAGAGAUCCGGAAGAACACCGGUGGCGAAGGCGGCCUGCUGGGCAGUUGCUGACACUGAGGCGCGACGAGCGUGGGGAGCAAACAGG